CGCCCUUAGAGUUUGAUCAUGGCUCAGGAUGAACGCUGGCGGCGUGCUUAACACAUGCAAGUCGAACGAAUCCUUCGGGAUGAGUGGCGGACGGGUGAGUAACGCGUGGGUAACCUGCCUUGUACAGGGGGAUAACAGUUGGAAACGGCUGCUAAUACCGCAUAAGCGCACAAUCGCAUGAUCAGUGUGAAAAACUCCGGUGGUAUAAGAUGGACCCGCGUUGGAUUAGCUAGUUGGUGAGGUAACGGCCCACCAAGGCGACGAUCCAUAGCCGACCUGAGAGGGUGACCGGCCACAUUGGGACUGAGACACGGCCCAAACUCCUACGGGAGGCAGCAGUGGGGAAUAUUGCACAAUGGGCGAAAGCCUGAUGCAGCGACGCCGCGUGAGCGAAGAAGUAUUUCGGUAUGUAAAGCUCUAUCAGCAGGGAAGAUAAUGACGGUACCUGACUAAAAAGCACCGGCUAAAUACGUGCCAGCAGCCGCGGUAAUACGUAUGGUGCAAGCGUUAUCCGGAUUUACUGGGUGUAAAGGGAGCGCAGGCGGUGCGGCAAGUCUGAUGUGAAAGCCCGGGGCUCAACCCCGUACUGCAUUGGAAACUGUCGU
rnacentral:rRNA from 1 species